UACGUAGGGUGCAAGCGUUGUCCGGAAUUAUUGGGCGUAAAGAGCUCGUAGGCGGUUUGUCGCGUCGAAUGUGAAAACCCGCAGCUCAACUGUGGACUUGCAGUCGAUACGGGCGGACUCGAGUUCGGCAGGGGAGACUGGAAUUCCUGGUGUAGCGGUGAAAUGCGCAGAUAUCAGGAGGAACACCGGUGGCGAAGGCGGGUCUCUGGGCCGAUACUGACGCUGAGGAGCGAAAGCGUGGGGAGCGAACAGG
rnacentral:rRNA from 1 species